rnacentral:rRNA from 1 species
AGCGAACGUUUGCGGCGGGCUUAACACAUGCAAGUCGAACGAGAAUCCCUUCGGGGAGGAAAGUGGCGCACGGGUGCGUAACACGUGGAUAACCAACCCAUUGGUUUGGGACAACACCGGGAAACUGGUGCUAAUACCAGAUGUGUCGCAGCUGUCUUCAGGCGGUUGCGAGAAAAGGCCCGCAAGGGUCGCCAACGGACGGGUCCGCGUCCCAUCAGCUAGUUGGUGAGGUAAUGGCUCACCAAGGCAAAGACGGGUAGCUGGUCUGAGAGGAUGAUCAGCCACAUUGGGACUGAGACACGGCCCAGACUCCUACGGGAGGCAGCAGUGGGGAAUCUUGCGCAAUGGCCGAAAGGCUGACGCAGCGACGCCGCGUGUGGGAUGACGGCCUGGUUGUAACCACUGUCGAGGACGAA